UUACGGCCACAUCACAUUGAAAUAUUAGUUCCCGUACGAUCACCUAAGUUAAGCAACGUCAAGCCUGGUCAGUACCUAGAUGGAUAACCGCUUGGGAAUACCAGAUACUGUAUG